GUCUGUGUGGUAUAGUGGUUUGAGUGUUGGACUAGGAUUCUGGAGACCAGGUUCAAAUCCUAGCUCAGCCA